UCCUACGGGAGGCAGCAGUGAGGAAUAUUGGUCAAUGGGCGCGAGCCUGAACCAGCCAAGUAGCGUGCAGGAUGACUGCCCUAUGGGUUGUAAACUGCUUUUACAGGGGAAUAAAGUGGGGUACGUGUACCUUUUUGUAUGUACCCUGUGAAUAAGGACCGGCUAAUUCCGUGCCAGCAGCCGCGGUAAUACGGAAGGUCCGGGCGUUAUCCGGAUUUAUUGGGUUUAAAGGGAGCGCAGGCCGGAGAUUGAGCGUGACGUGAAAUGCCGCGGCUCAACCGUGGAAGUGCGUCGCGAACUGGUUUUCUUGAGUGAGUACGACGGAGGCGGAAUUCGUGGUGUAGCGGUGAAAUGCUUAGAUAUCACGAAGAACCCCGAUUGCGAAGGCAGCCUCCGAGUCCUUUACUGACGCUAAAGCUCGAAAGUGCGGGUAUCGAACAGGAUUAGAUACCCUGGUAGUCC
rnacentral:rRNA from 1 species